rnacentral:lncRNA from 13 species
AGUGUAAGUAGGCUUUAUUGAUCACAUACUGUAUGUUCACAUAUACAAUAUGACCAGUUUUUAUGAGAGGCAAAAGUAUGUCAGUGGGCUAACAUUCUAAGCACUGAGAUGUGGGUAGAGCUGAUUCUCUACCCACCAAUCCAAUAUCCACACGCCUCAUGGAGGGAAUUGUGCACUCACUCAUCCGCAAGAGAACCCCCAUUUGGCAGUCUGGUCUGCUGCGCUAUCUAAGUUACAAGUUGUGACAAGCCCUGAUGGCUCCUGUCUCUCAAGCCAGGCUAUUUAUUAGAGUCUAUUCAGCUCCAUGUCUUGCAAAAAUAAACAGAGUGCCAAGCAGCAGCGAAAGUGCUGACAGUGAGAAUAGUUUCCAGGUUGAAAUAAAGCAGUCUGAACUGCCCUAGGACACCGCGGCUAAGCGCUAACCCCGCUAACUUUGUAUAGCCCUCCAUGACUUCACCCCUCCUUUCCAGUUGACUUCAGGUGCAGUCAUUUGCAGAAUAAAUGGUUGUGUCAUUGCUGAGAGAGAGAGAGAGAGAGAGGUCAGUUAGAUUUCAAGUAUCUUCUGAUGAAAAGAGGCUGGAGCUGUGGUCGGAGACUGGAGCAGCUCCCGGCUGUUCCACAAAGCUAUGCAACUUCUACAGAGCAGCGACACAGGGCAGCGACACAGGGCAGAGCUUGAGUAUACAGCCAAAGCAAAGCACCAAUAACACUGCCUACAACAAGUGAGAUUCUGAAGAGAAUGUGUUCAAUGCAUAUUUACAUGCUGCAUUUGGGCUGAAUGAGAUGUUUGGUGUUUGUUAUUCAUAUCCGAGAGCGAUAUUUAAUCGUCGAUUUAAUGAUUGGAUAGUACUACUGUAUCUCUGUUCAUUUUCUGUAGGUCUGAUUGGUGUUGUAGGUACAAAAGGUUCAGUGGCUACUUUUGAUGUGCUGUCACUGUGGAAGACAUCGAAUUGAAAUAAAAUGGGGUUAUGACUUAAUACCUUCCAAGAUGUGAUCUCAUAACCUUUCUGAACAGUGCAAACCCCAGACAUAGAGACAUCCAAUAUCUUAGAAUCCUUCAGGAAUUCCAGCCUCACGUGGAUGAAGUGUUCAGCAUUCAACCCGUUCAAACAAGGUCCUAUAACACACAUGCAAGGUCCAAUAUUAGACCUUGUCUUUUUGUCUGCCACGUAAAUAUGUUUUGAUAUAUAUUUUCUUCAUUUCAUACAGCACCUCUAAGUGUAGAACUUGACACUUUCACACUAAGCCUUGUUCACCCUACCUGUCAACCUCUCACAAAUGGCUUCCUUUGCUGUCUCUACGUGGUGCUAUGGCCAGGUGAGCCGCAUCAUGAGAGGGACAGCCAUUACUUCGGAGAACAUACAGUACAUAUUCACCAGCAUCUGCCUCA